rnacentral:rRNA from 1 species
UUGCAGUUAAAAAGCUCGUAGUUGAAGUUCGGCGCUUCGGCGUCUGUCCGCAAGGAACUCCGAUCCCUUAAAAGUUCUGUUUUCCGAACGGACCUUUACUGUGAAUAAAAUAGAGUGCUCAAAGCAGGCUUCGCUUGUAUAAUAAAGCAUGGAAUAAUAAAACAAGAUUCUGUUCUUUUAUUGGUUAUGAAUAGAGUAAUGAUUAACAGAAUCAGUUGGGGGCAUUCGUAUUUUAUCGUCAGAGGUGAAAUUCUAGGAUUGAUAAAAGACGAACUAAUGCGAAAGCAUUUGCCAAGAAUGUUUUCAUUAAUCAAGAACGAAAGUUAGGGGAUCAAAGACGAUCAGAUACCGUCGUAGUCCUAACUAUAAACUAUACCGACUAGGGAUUGGUGAGUCUCAAAUCUCAUCAGCACCUAAUGAGAAAUCAAAGUCUUCGGGUUCUUGGGGGAGUAUGGUCGCAAGGCUGGAACUUAAAGGAAUUGACGGAAGGGCACCACCAGGAGUGGAGUCUGCGGCUUAAUUUGAUUCAACACGGGAAAACUUACCAGGGCAAAAAACUGAGAUGAUUGACAGCUUGAAAGUGCUUUCUUGAUCCUGUAGGAAGUGGUGCAUGGCCGUUCUUAGUUG